AUGCAUCAAAAAGUUCAAAACAAAAAAUUUCGAAUUACACUAGGCAUCAAAAGUUCAAAAAACAAACUCAAGAAAUCAUAAUCCCUGCAAUUAAACAAUUAAAUCAACAAUCAACAAAAUUAAUAAGUACCACCAAAAGAUAAAAAAAAUUGAAAAGAUAAAAAAAUUAAAAAGAUAAAAAAAAUUGAAGAACAGAGCAGAGCAUAAUUUUCAAAUUCAACAUACAUCAAAUUUAUUCUCAAAUUCAACAUAUAACAAAUUUAUUCAACAUUUGAUUAAUCAUAUUAAAAACAAAAUUAAAAAAUUAAAAAACAGAAGAACAGAAGCCCAUAACAAAAAAUGAAAACAGCGAACAGAAGUCAGAAACCCAGAACUUAACUGAAGAGAAGAACUACCAGAAGCCGCCAGAAAACAGCACGACCUAAACCCAGAAACCCAGAAGCCAGAUACCCAAAACCCGCGACGGUGAGUGACAAUGGGAGUGGGAGUGUUCUUCACGGCGUCGGUUAUCCGUCAUAUGCAGAAGCUCCAGCCUCGAGCUUAUGGUUGGGAGUAGCAGUGGCAGUGGAGUGUUCUUCGAAGAUUUUGGAAGAUUAGGGAGAUUAGGGAUUUAGGGUAAACUCAACUGGUAAAGUGGCUAGCUGCAAGUCACGGCGAGGAGCAGCGAAGCAGCGACAGAGAGACAAAAGAGCGCGCGAGAGAGAAGGGAGAGAAGGGUUCAGCGAUGACAAACGAUGCGGGGCUCUGGGGACUGCGGUGGCUACGGGCUGGGUGACUGUGGGUGGCUAGGGUUCUUCCUCUUCUUUCAAUCUCAAGCUUUCUUCAAUUUGACUGUUGAGAGAG
rnacentral:lncRNA from 1 species